rnacentral:misc_RNA from 1 species
UGCCAAAAUUUAGAUAGUCUUCAAUGAGAUUCAAACGCCUAGCAAUUAGAACAAGCAGAUCAUAUUGAAGUUCCGACCAAUCAGCCAACUCUUGCUCCAUCGAAAAACCUGAUGCAGCAGUUUCCAUCCCUGCAGCCGCAUAUAAAUAAUUCAACUCUUGCGCCAUCGAAAGAUCUCAGCUAUAGGGAAGAUUGUUCUGAUACCAGCCGCCUUGCCUAACGAAAAA